rnacentral:rRNA from 1 species
UACGUAGGGUGCGAGCGUUGUCCGGAAUUAUUGGGCGUAAAGAGCUCGUAGGCGGUUUGUCGCGUCGACCGUGAAAACUUGGGGCUUAACUCCAAGCUUGCGGUCGAUACGGGCAGACUUGAGUUCGGCAGGGGAGACUGGAAUUCCUGGUGUAGCGGUGAAAUGCGCAGAUAUCAGGAGGAACACCGGUGGCGAAGGCGGGUCUCUGGGCCAUUACUGACGCUGAGGAGCGAAAGCGUGGGUAGCGAACAGG